rnacentral:rRNA from 1 species
GACGAACGCUGGCGGCGUGCUUAACACAUGCAAGUCGAACGGGCCUGUCUUCUUUUUUGGGGGUGGGUUGAGUGGCGAACGGGUGAGUAUCACGUGAGUAACCUGCCCUUCGGUCCUGGAUAACCGCUUGAAAGGGCGGCUAAUACGGGGUGGUCCGGUUGGUCCGCAUGGGCUGGUCGGGAUAGAUUCACUGUUUUUGGUGUUUCGGCGGGGGAUGGGCUCGCGGCCUAUCAGCUUGUUGGUGGGGUGAUGGCCUACCAAGGCGGUGACGGGUAGCCGGCCUGAGAGGGUGGGCGGCCACACUGGGACUGCGAUACGGCCCAGACUCCUGCGGGAGGCAGCAGUGGGGGGUAUUGCACAAUGGGCGGAAGCCUGAUGCAGCGACGUCGCGUGAGGGAUGGAGGCCUUCGGGUUGUGAACCUCUGUUUCCGGUGGUGAAGGCCCUGUCCGUGUGGUGGGGUUGACGGUAGCCGGGGAUGAAGCGCCGGCUAACUACGUG